AGCGGCGAAAGGGUGAGUAACACGUAACUAACCUACCCUCCUGAUCGGGAUAACUGUUGGAAACGACAGGUAAUACCGAAUGGUCCCAAGAGAGGCAUCUCUCGAUGGGUAAACGGUGGCUUCGGCUGCCGCAGGGGGAGGGGGUUGCGGCCUAUCAGCUUGUUGGUGGGGUAAUGGCCUACCAAGGCAAUGACGGGUAGCCGGUCUGAGAGGAUGGUCGGUCACACUGGGACUGAGACACUGCCCAGUCUCCUACGGGAGGCUGCAGUCGAGAAUCUUCCGCAAUGGGCGAAAGCCUGACGGAGCGACACCGCGUGUAGGAUGAAGGCUCUAGGGUUGUAAACUACUGUCACGCUAUAGGAACGCCCUGUUUUUUAAGAGAUGCGGGGUUGACUAAAGCGAGAGGAAGCACCGGCUAACUCCGUGCCAGCAGCCGCUGUAAGACGGAGGGUGCAAACGUUGUUCGGAAUCAUUGGGCAUAAAGGGCACGCAGGCCGCCCAGUCAGUCAGUUGUGAAAUCCCACGGCUCAACCGUGGAACUGCAUCUGAUACUGCUGGGCUAGAGAAUGGUUGGGGUGAGUGGAACUCCUGGUGGAGCGGUGAAAUGCGUAGAUAUCAGGAGGAACACCGGUGGCGAAAGCGACUCACUGGACCAUUACUGACGCUGAGGUGCGAAAGCUAGGGUAGCGAACGGGAUUAGAUACCCCGGUAGUCCUAGCCGUAAACGAUGGGUACUAGGUAGGGGGGACGCCUAUGGUCUUCUCUACCGCAGCAAAUGUGUUAAGUACCCCGCCUGGGGAGUACGCUCGCAAG
rnacentral:rRNA from 1 species